rnacentral:tRNA from 1 species
GCGCGAGUAGCUCAGCCCGGAUAGAGUCGCGGCAUCCUAAGCCGUUGGUCGGGGGUUCAAAUCCUCCCUCGCGCA